AGUGAACGCUGGCGGUAGGCCUAACACAUGCAAGUCGAACGGCAGCACAGUAAGAGCUUGCUCUUACGGGUGGCGAGUGGCGGACGGGUGAGGAAUACAUCGGAAUCUACUUUUUCGUGGGGGAUAACGUAGGGAAACUUACGCUAAUACCGCAUACGACCUACGGGGGAAAGCAGGGGAUCUUCGGACCUUGCGCGAUUGAAUGAGCCGAUGUGGGAUUAGCUAGUUGGCGGGGUAAAGGCCCACCAAGGGGACGAUCCGUAGCUGGACUGAGAGGAUGAUCAGCCACACUGGAACUGAGACACGGUCCAUACUCCUACGGGAGGCAGCAGUGGGGAAUAUUGGACAAUGGGCGCAAGCCUGAUACAGCCAUACCGAGUGGGUGAAGGAGGCCUUCGGGGUGGAAAGCCCUUUUGUUGGGAAAGAAAAGCAGCAGGUUAAUACCCCGCUGUUCUGACGGUACCCAAAGAAUAAGCACCGGCUAACUUCGUG
rnacentral:rRNA from 1 species